rnacentral:rRNA from 1 species
UACGAAGGGGGCUAGCGUUGCUGGGAAUCACUGGGGGUAAAGGGUGCGUAGGCGGGUCUUUAAGUCAGGGGUGAAAUCCUGGAGCUCAACUCCAGAACUGCCUUUGAUACUGAGGAUCUUGAGUUCGGGAGAGGUGAGUGGAACUGCGAGUGUAGAGGUGAAAUUCGUAGAUAUUCGCAAGAACACCAGUGGCGAAGGCGGCUCACUGGCCCGAUACUGACGCUGAGGCACGAAAGCGUGGGGAGCAAACAGG